GUGAAUCAUCGAAUUUUUGAACGCAAAUUGCACUCUCCGCGGAGAGUAUGCCUGUGUGAGGGUCAGCCUAUAAAAAAUCGACAACGUUGCUGUUGCGCGGGGGCGUUCGUCGGAAAUGGGGUUAUAUUAAAUCCGUUUGGGAUUGAAGCGACAUAAAAUUUUCGAUUUGGUUCCAUGAACGUUACGAAGAUUU
rnacentral:misc_RNA from 1 species